UACGGAGGGAGCUAGCGUUAUUCGGAAUUACUGGGCGUAAAGCGCACGUAGGCGGCUUUGUAAGUUAGAGGUGAAAGCCUGGAGCUCAACUCCAGAAUUGCCUUUAAGACUGCAUCGCUCGAAUGCAGGAGAGGUGAGUGGAAUUCCGAGUGUAGAGGUGAAAUUCGUAGAUAUUCGGAAGAACACCAGUGGCGAAGGCGGCUCACUGGACCGGCACUGACGCUGAGGUGCGAAAGCUUGGGGAGCAAACAGG
rnacentral:rRNA from 1 species